AUUAUAAUACUCCCUUAUACAUGAUUGAUGAAGAUUAUACAUAGCCUUCAUAUAAUCUGAGACGGCUGCAACCAGGACAUCGUGCUCCACACGGGAUGAAUUCUUCAAUGGCUUAAUCCUUCUUCUCCAAAUACCAUCAUCCUGAUGUUUUAUGGGAUAGAAUCGAGCAGAACUCGACCCUAUUUCCACCUUAUGCUUUUCACAUAACUCUGUGAGGGCGGUCAUGGCUGCCCUCUCAAUAGUGUCAUUGAAUUCAAAACCUUGCUCCAUAACUUCCUCCAAAUGCCAGUUAGGAUUUGUAUCUUCAUCUGGAAUGUGGACGUAAACAGUGCAAUACUGCUUAUGGCAUGUGUCCUCCUUCCUCCAGUAAUAUUCAGGAGGAUUAUGAAAUCCCAACUCCUGAAGUGUCUUCCACAACAGCUGUGUAAAUCCAGGUUUGUCCAGAUAGUGCC
rnacentral:lncRNA from 1 species